GAUGACGUCAAGUCUUCAUGCCCCUUACAUCCAGGGCUGCAAACAUGCUACAAUGGCCGGUACAAAGGGCUGCUAUCCCGCGAGGGUGAGCGAAUCCCAAAAAGCCGGUCUCAGUUCGGAUUGGAGUCUGCAACUCGACUCCAUGAAGUCGGAGUCGCUAGUAAUCCCGGAUCAGCAACGCCGGGGUGAAUACGUUCCCGGGCCUUGUACACACCGCCCGUCACACCACGAAAGUCGGCAACACCCGAAGCCAGUGGCCCAACCCGCAAGGGAGGGAGCUGUCGAAGGUGGGGUCGGUGAUUGGGGUGAAGUCGUAACAAGGUAGCCGUACCGGAAGGUGCGGCUGGAUCACCUCCUUUCNN
rnacentral:rRNA from 1 species